rnacentral:rRNA from 1 species
AAUCGGUUCACGUACGAUCACCGAUGUUAAGCAACGUCGAGUCUAGUCAGUAUCUAGAUGGGUAAUCGCUUGGGAAUACCAGGUGCUGUAAG